rnacentral:rRNA from 1 species
UACGAAGGGGGCUAGCGUUGCUCGGAUUUACUGGGCGUAAAGGGCGCGUAGGCGGAUAGUACAGUCAGGCGUGAAAUUCCUGGGCUCAACCUGGGGGCUGCGUUUGAUACGUGUUGUCUGGAGUUCGGAAGAGGGUCGUGGAAUUCCCAGUGUAGAGGUGAAAUUCGUAGAUAUUGGGAAGAACACCGGUGGCGAAGGCGGCUCUCUGGACCGAGACUGACGCUGAGGCGCGAAAGCGUGGGGAGCAAACAGG